CCAGCCGCCAGCCACCCUGAGGAGCCCACAGCCUCUCCUGGCCUGGCUCCCACUCCCGAGCCCCCAGGGUGUGGUCACUCAGCAGGGCAGGCGCCCCUGAGCUCUUCAAGUGGGGGUUGCGAUGCUGGCCCAGCAGCCCAGCCCAGUGACCAGGCAGAGCCUGACGGGUGUCCUGUGCUGUGGCUCCAGCUCCCCCGUGUUGCCAGCCCGGCUCGCUGGGUAUGAGGUGGGAGAAUCAGAGAGCUUGGAGUUGGGGCGUCCUGAAGCCUGAAGGCCCCUCGCCCGCUCGGGGCUGGUUGGCCCUGGGUUUUGCAGAGCAGGACCUCACACAGCCCCUGGGGAGGUGCUGGGAGCUUGGAGGGUAGAGAGUGAGGGGCAGAGGGUCCCCUGUGCAGGUCCGAGCUCCAGACGUGUGCAUCCUGCCCCUCUGCACACCAGCCUAGACCCCUCUCCAGCGAUGCUUGUCCCCUCCUCCCAGGGAGGCUGGGUCAUCUGGGCACACCUGGCACCCGCAGCAGACAGGGCAGGCGCGGGAGGCAGCGUGUCUGGUCUACACCGAGACUUCAGGCCCAGAGCACGCCGAGGGGUGGGAGGGGCCUGGGGCUGAAGGCAGCCGGAUUCCCAGGGCAGGAUGCGCCAUCGAUCAGGAAGUGCCUGCAGGCUGGGGUAUAGACUGUGGGCAGGAUGAGGGGCUGAAAGCUGAGGGAGCCAGGGAGUGGAGGUGUGUUCACACCUGCAGAAGAAAGAAUCCACACUCCAUCUUCACUCUCAGCACAGAUCUGCCUUCUGCUCCAGCAAGGAGAACCAGGAGAGGCAGAGUUGAUGCUGCCUUUAAAACACCACCUGGUCCAGCUCACGGACACACCCGGUCCAGGUCACAGGCACACCCGGUCCAGGUCACAGGCACACCUGGUCCCGCUCACAGGGAUACCUGGUCCAGGUCACAGGCACACCUGGCCCCGGUCACGGGCACACUUGGUCCCGCUCACGGGCACACCUGGUCCUGCUCACAGGCACCUGGUCCUGUUGCAGGCACAUCGCCAUCAUGGAUUCUCAGCCCUCCUGGCUGGGACACUGUUCCUAAGUCAUGCAGAGGCGGUGACUGUGGUGUGUAAGCGUCCGUCUUGUGUGAGCUUUUCUAUAGGGGCUUCUUCAGGCACCCAUCUUAAGGGCAUUGCCAGGCAGAGUUCUGGACAUACAGCCCCUCCUCAUUUCCCUCCCCCGAGGCCUCGGGCGUCUGCGGGCCGCAGCAGGGCCGGCCGGGCCACCUCACGCGGCUGCCUCCAGGUCCCCUGCCCGCCCACCUGUCCUCCCAGCCCCGGCCCUGGUCCACAUGAGGACCAGCUGCUGAGAAGCCUCCCUGCAAACAGGGACAGAGCCUGCCAGGCAUCCUGCCUGCAGGCGCUCACCUGCUCUGCAGCCCUGUCGGCUCCGACACGGGCCGUGUGAUUCGCUCUCCCACCCAGCCCGGCUUCUCCCAGAACACCCUGGAGUCACCGAGUCCCCUUGGAGAGCUUCCCACCCGCACACAGGGUCUGACUCCUAUUUUUUUCGUUUAUUUUUGGCUGCGCUGGGUCUUUAUGGCCGUGCACUGGCUCACUGUGGUAGCUCGUCUUCUCUCCUAUGGCUUCCAGGCUCCAGGCACCCUGGCUCAGAACCUGUGAUGCUCGGGCUUAGCUGCUCUGCGGUGGGCGGGACCUUCCCAGACCAGGGACCGAACCUGGGUCCCCUGCACGGGCAGGCGGAUCCUUAACCACUGGAUCUCCAGGGAAGUCCUGACUCCUGUUCUUUUUGCUAAAGUAAUUUUCAGAUUAUUAGAUACUGUGUGUUCACGGUGAACACAGAGCCCUGCACGGAGAGCUUGGCUCUGGGGCUCACAGCCACGUCCACCCAGCCCCGAGCCCUGGACCCCGGCCUCCCGCACCAGCAACGGGGCCUCUGGCGCAUCUCAAGCUGUGCCGACCUUUCUUUUGGGGAGCUCGUAGGUCCUGAGUUCAGCCGGGUCUGGCGGGGACUCCUGCCUGGCCGGGCGCUGCUUCCUGUGCUUAGACCUGAGGGUUUUCUGUGGGUCCGGCUGUGAGCGAGCUAGCUGUCCACGGCUCUGGCCGCCCAGCCGGACUCAUGCUUGGGCUGUGUCCUGCCUUCUCUCCGCUCGCUGACCUGCUGGUUCUUCUGAGGCCACUGCUCCUCUGGGGGCUGGGCUCUCGGGUCCCGCCCCAGCCACCGGCCAUGCCUCUGGGGAUAUCGAUGCUCAGCUCCGGGCCCCCCAAAGCUGCUGGAGGCGGAUGUGUCCCAGCCCCAUGGGAACCCGGGCCCAGCCUUGGGGAUUCACUGGGCUCUGGACCCUGUCAGCCGCGCCUCCAACACAGAGCCUCCACCCUGGGCCUGGGCGCAGCUGUGCUCAGCCCUUGGGGUCCCCCAGACGCCUGCCCUCACCUGGGGCCCCUUCGCCCCCCAGCACUCCGCUUGGCCACCCAGGUGAGGGGCACCCCGGUCAGCAGGCUGGGCCCUGAGGUGGGGGCAGUUGUGUGACUGCUCUGGAUCCUCUGGGGGACUGUGUCACCCCACCGGUGCCCAGAGGGGUGUCGCUCGGGGAGCCCCCAGAGCAGGAGCCGGGGGGAGGGGGAGGGGAUCGCUGGGGUGGUCCUGCACCCCCUGGGCUGCUGGCCGCGUGCUCCCCGCGUGACUGGGGCUGGGACC
rnacentral:lncRNA from 1 species